CGGAGAGUUUGAUCCUGGCUCAGGACGAACGCUGGCGGCGUGCUUAACACAUGCAAGUCGAACGGUGAAGAGGAGCUUGCUCCUUGGAUCAGUGGCGAACGGGUGAGUAACACGUGAGUAACCUGCCCCAAACUCUGGGAUAAGCACUGGAAACGGUGUCUAAUACCGGAUACGAGCUUCAGCCGCAUGGCUAGGAGUUGGAAAGAAUUUCGGUUUGGGAUGGACUCGCGGCCUAUCAGCUAGUUGGUGAGGUAAUGGCUCACCAAGGCGACGACGGGUAGCCGGCCUGAGAGGGUGACCGGCCACACUGGGACUGAGACACGGCCCAGACUCCUACGGGAGGCAGCAGUGGGGAAUAUUGCACAAUGGGCGCAAGCCUGAUGCAGCAACGCCGCGUGAGGGACGACGGCCUUCGGGUUGUAAACCUCUUUUAGUAAGGAAGAAGCGAAAGUGACGGUACCUGCAGAAAAAGCACCGGCUAACUACGUGCCAGCAGCCGCGGUAAUACGUAGGGUGCAAGCGUUGUCCGGAAUUAUUGGGCGUAAAGAGCUCGUAGGCGGUUUGUCGCGUCUGCUGUGAAAACCCGAGGCUCAACCUCGGGCGUGCAGUGGGUAC
rnacentral:rRNA from 1 species